rnacentral:rRNA from 1 species
UACGUAGGUGGCAAGCGUUGUUCGGAAUUAUUGGGCGUAAAGGGCGCGUAGGCGGUCUUGUAAGUCAGCUGUGAAAGCCCGGGGCUCAACCCCGGAGGGUCGGCUGAUACUGCAGGACUGGAGUACGGAAGAGGUAGCUGGAAUUCCCGGUGUAGCGGUGAAAUGCUUAGAUAUCGUCAAGAACACCGAUAGCGAAGGCAGCUUACUAAGGAGUAACUGACGCUGAUGCACGAAAGUGUGGGGAUCAAACAGGA